CGUAACGUUUCAUUCAAAUCCCGCAGCAUCUUAAACACAAUUUGUCCCAAAAGUCGGCAAAUAUAUCAAAACAUAAUAAGAAGAAGAUAACUGGAAGAAGCAUCUGUAGCGCAUAGAGCAAUGAUUUAUGGCGAAAUAACUGUGCUGCGAGGCAACGAUGUUUUAUUAAUGCUCCAUGUAAGAUUAAUAAGGGCAAACGAGGUGGUACAUUAAGUGUGGGCAUUAGUGUAGAAAAAGGCAGCGAUCGCCUCGUAACGUGUCCCGUCAGAGUGUUCUUUUGUGGCCGCAUACAUACACAUCGGGGACCGAGUCUCUCCUCAAUGAUCCGCGCAUGAGAUUACUUUGAUAUACGACAGUUUAGCCGUCGAACACGUUGGGUUGUCGCAGGUCAGGUCAAUUCAGGUCAACGUACUCCUUAUCCUGUCUGCGUACGUCCUCACUUCCCGUCUUCGAAACUUUCCUCUUCCCACUUUUCUCCUCAUUUUUCUUGCUUCUCUCUACUGUUUUUGUUUCUCAAGUUCCCUUGAUUUUUUUUUUCUUUCAUCGUACGUACUGUACCUUGUCACCUGUAGAUUUCCACCUUUUCAGAUAGGCAAUUUAUGUUUAUAAGUUUAUGGUAUAUAUUGUUUACGAUGUUUAUUGUUACGAUUCUUUCGAUUUAUUGCAAGUGAAUAGUAUACUUUGUAUUAAUUAAUUGUAAUCGACUUUGAUAGAUCGGACACAAGUGCCGGAGGUUUUGCUGCGAACUGGCUUUAAAGAAUCGGGUUCUGUGCUGGGAAAUUAGGAACAUUCGCUGAUUUGCAAAUUGAGGAAUUUAGGCUCGUUCUUGCCUCGGGAUAUUGCGAAAAUUCUUAAUUACACAUUUGUAGAGUAAUUACAGAAAGAAGAACGAUAAAGAACGGCGAAAUUUUUGUAUCGUUCUUGUAUCAGAAUCUUACAGGCAAUUUAAAAUUUGAAAAACAUUUAUCCUUCAUUUUAUCUCAUUCUAUACCAUUUAAAUCAUACUUAGUCACGGUUGUAUAGGAAAUUUGGAAAUUGAAAAGAUUCAGUUCUCAUUUGUUAUCAUUUUGUAUCGCAUUUAAUCACAGUAUCACGGGAAAUGUAAAAGUUGGAAAAAUUCGUUCUAUAUAAUUUUAUAUCACCACUAACCACAAUUUUGUAGGAAAUGUAAAAGUUGCAGAAAUUUAUUCUUUGCUAGAAAAGAUAGACAACGUUGUUUACGUAAUGGUAGGUUGCUGAAACAUUUUUUUUUCACAUAUAUAUGUGAUUUAUGGUUUUACAAAAAGAGAAAGGAGAUGGACGGUGGAUGCACGCCUUGGUAUGCCGUUUCCAUGUAAGCGACUGGAAAGUAAAUAACAAAACGCCGCUCGUUUCAGUGAUAUUUACGAAGAAUAAACAAUCCGGCAUACGUACAAUGUAUAGCGAAAAGAGAUUACGAUCAGCACCACUGACUUGCGACCUACGCGUAAUUGCCGCUAUGACGCACUAAAUUGAUACGUGGCACAAUAAUUUGCAUCAGCCGUGCGAAGCUGCGUGAGAAACCUUCGGACGAGUCUGGUUUCGACUGUUUUAGAAAUUUUCUAGACUCCAAUAAACACGCUUGGGAAACGUUUUAUAUUAAUCGGCCCAGCAUUAUCGAGCUGGAUUUAGAAAGCAGACUGACACGUUUGCUAAUUUAUUUGUUAAUAUUGAAAUAUAUAAAAUUUAACGCGAGAUCAUUACAAAGCGCCGUUUCCUUCCUACAAAAUUAUAACUAUCGAUUGUUUUAAAAAGAGACAACUCGAGGUGUGAGAAAUUAAAGUAAUUAUAAUCUGACACUACGAAUCUUUGGUUUAUAUUCGGAGUUACAGCGCAGAUUGUUUUACACCGCCUUUGCUAAUUAUUGAUAACUCUUCGUUUGCAUUGACGUGGACAGACGUAACAUGCGGAAGACAACAUGCCAUUACACGUAACGUAAUUAACAUUCUCAGUGCUCAACCUCACUUGACCCAAUCCUAUCCGAAAUCUACGAUCCUCCUCGAUCUCUUUAAACACCACUCUCCAUCAAUCCCUCGGACAACCAAUCGUCUAUUUUCUUUCGUCUUCUUCCAUUUUCUCCGAAAUUGGGUUUGAUCGUGCAAGUCACAAGUAUCCGCCAUCUGCUCUACAACAAUCGGAUCGAACUCCAUUACGAUCGUAUCGUCGUUACCUCCUCCACCUGUAGUAUCAAUUAGUCGAUGAUUACUAUCCCGAAUCGCAUUAUUCAUCCGCCGAGAGUUCUCCGCGUGACCCGCUAAUUAAAUCCCCAGAAACCUGAAUCAACUCAUGUAUCCUUAACAAGCAACCAAAAAUAUUGACUUCCAAAUUUCCUUUUCCCCUCGUUGAUACAGCCACCGUAAUAGAAAACGGGCUUUCCAUCCGAUCUACCUUUUAAUCGCUCUACAGUUUCGCGUUUGUCUCCGCGAGGAAUAGUCGAAUAACGCGGCGAUUCGACACGCCGAUCAACCAAACUGUGCGGUUUGUUUCCUCGAAAUUCCUACGUGUUCUCCAUUCUAUAGAAAUUCUAUUUCGUUCGUUACGUAACCUUUCGGAAGCUAAACCGUUCGACUUGCCUUUGGAAACACAAUGUUUGUGACGCGAUCGCCUUACCUGUGCUUUCCCAUGUAUAUGUUUUUGUCGGAGUUGAUCGAUAUGACUUUUGCAUGGCUCGUGUGUCGUUAUUGCGUCUUUGUAUGGAAAUAGAAUAGAGGGAAGAAGCUGAGGAAAUUCGUUUCGUACGCGUGUUUGUUUGAGAAUGCGAAUCCGAUUUUUAGUGUCGCAACUACGAAAUGAGUUUGCGUACGAAACGAUACUUGCGGACACGUUAACACUGUGGUGAACGGUGACGCUAGCUUAACGCCACGUAAGUGUUAAUUAUUAGCGCACAAUCUACAGUAUUUCUUUGUACACAAAAAGAGAACGUCACUGUGACGAGUAAAAAUAUCUGCGAAAUAACCUCAAGAAUUUCAACAAUUCGUUUAACAUUUUUUUAGCCACCAUUUCCUGCCAGAUUCUCUGAUUUGUGUUUUAAUUUAAUGUACAUUCCAAUUUUCUAACGUAAAGCGUAAAUUACUUCUCCCAGAGAAACGAUUCGAGUUUACUAUGGAAAACCUUGAAAAAGCUAUUGUUAUCUAUUGCAACUGAAAUUGCGAUAACUAAAUGUAGGUGCGCGGAAACGUGUUUCAUAUUUCGCAAACAUAAAUAUAAUUGUGUAUUUUAUAUCUUACGUUAGUGUUAUAUUUAUAUUUAUACAUAUACAUCAUAUUUAUAUCGCACACUAUAUAUUUUACAUUAUUUGCCACAUACAUCUUACAUAAUAUGACGUGUUCCCUACGUAGAACUUGAAUAUUCCAACACGAUCUAGCCACAGUUGAAAAAUCCGCGGUCUAAUUAUCGCACACUAUCAUCUGGUCUUACGUUAACAAACUCGUCGCCCGUUUAAUCUUCGAACGAGUAUCAUCGUUCCGUACGUUCGAAAUUCAUACGGUGGCAGAAAUAAUAAAUAAGUGGAACACAGAGACACUGGUAACUCCGGCUAGGAGGGACGAGGUGGGGUGGUGCGUAAAGCAUACACGUGACCGUGGAACGUGCCUCCUGGUGCACGUGGACCGGAGCACAUCCCCCUGGCGUCGAGCUCCGCUCACUCGCCGUGCCUCGUGCUUUCAACCCUCUUUUGCUCGAGGCGGAGGAGAGGAACCUGUUCCUCUCAGUCAUCCUCGAGCCUCUUCGGGCUCUACGCGCGCGUCCAUCCUUCCUCGUCGAUUAUUAUUCGCGUCAAUUUUUGGUGAAACUUCUAUCGACACGAAAGCUAGUCCUGCAUUGCCGUUCUUUCUUUUAGUUCUUUCUUCUCGUUUUCGUUUUCGUACGUUCGUUGCUAUAAGGAACAGUAUAAAACUGUACGUACUUCGAG